AGUCAGAAUCAAGUCAUGUUCUCACCCUUCAAUGCGCUUGGCACGUUUUCUUUCCGGACACAUCCAGUGGAUACUGUGCAGACCUUCUCCAGCUAAUCUCAGGAAGGCUGAAGUUUUUAGACGGCUACCCUUCAUAUUUAGGGGUAAGUGGCAAGUGCAGGAAAUGCUUCCUUCUGUUUGGGUUGUGUUUUCUUAGCGUGGGGAGGAAUUAUAACGUAAUGGGAUUGAUUAAUGACCCCGACAGGAGACACAGCCCUGGAGCUGGAAGUGAGUGAGCAGAGUGCCUAGUUUGCUUUUCAACCUCCCAAGAUCUUUAGCAGCUAUACAGCGCUUACCUCCCCAACUUACUUUGCGGAGUAGAUUCUGUAGUUUUAAAAUGUGCUUUGCAUGGAAGGCCCAGUGCUCUCUGUAGAAGUCUCUGGGGAUGGUUACCUCCAAAAUAAAAUGAUAACGGUGCCUCAUCUCGCGGAGAACAUUUGAAUUUGCUUGGAGUCACUUUUAAAAGUGUUAUCACUUCAUCUGCUGAUAUAUUAGAUAUAGUUGUUAAUAGAAUUUUACUAAUUAAUAGAUAGCCUCAAUGCAAAAAGAUAAGACAUUGACUGCUCUUUAGGAAAAAAAAAUGUUGUAAGCUGUAGCAAACUACUCUCAUGGAGAUUUCUUUGUGGUAGUAGAGAUAGCAACCCAUGAGGAAUUAAAUGAAAAGAUAAACUGUGUGUGAUUGCUUCACCAGCCACAGUGUGGGGUGAAAUCUGGCUGUUUAAAGCUAUGGGAAGUGACAAGGGGCCUGCUUUGGGUUGGGCAGCCAGGUGAGGUUACUCUGAAGACCAUUAGAACAGAAGCUUGAUGGGAGAGAGGAAGAAUGUGAAUGGGUAAACCUGGAAAAGGCAGUUCAGACAGAUGGACAAUGGAGUGUGGGAUUGCGGUAGAGAAUGUGAUCUCUGUAGUUUAGCUGAAAAUCCCAGUUCUGUGCCUUGAUUAGUUUUCAUUGUCAAUGUGACCUGGGAAGAAGGAACUGCAACUGAGAUCCUGAUCACAUUAGCAUGUUGGCCUGACUGUGAGGCAUUUUCUUUAUCUCUGAUGUAAGAGACCCCAGCCCACUGUUGGGGGUGCCAUUCCCUAUACAGGAGGACCUGAGCUGUGUAAAGCCCUGGUGAAGCAUCAGCCUGUGACUGAGCUAGAGAGUGAGUAAAUAGCAUUCCUCCAUGCUUUUUGCUUCAGUUCCACUUGAAUUUCUGUCCCAACGUCCCUUCAAUGGCUUGUAACCUGGAAGUGUAACCAAAAUAAGACAUUUUCUCCCUUAAGUUGCCUUUGGUCAGAAUGUUUUAUCAUAGUAACAAAAAAGCAAACCAGAACACUCUGGGGCUUCCCUUUCUGCAGGAAACAGUAAAGACAGUGGAAUUUACUGAGACGUUUCUGUGCACUGAGCAUGUGCAAGAUCUUGGGUUCAGUUCUCAACACAACAGACAUGACAAAAGUGAAGCAAACAGGAAAAGCCAGCACCUACCUCCUGUGUGUCAGUUAACACGUGGAGCCUUUCUACACUUAUUUUUGUGUUGAAUUCUCUCAUCAGCUCUGCAGCACUCACAUGAUCCUUAAAUCCACCCUACCGGCAAAGAAUGAGACGUGGAGGGUUCAGGGUGGCGCCAGGAUUCAACCACUCAAGCUUGAGUCAAGAGCCAGUUGUAUUAAUACCACAUAAAACUUGGGAUGCACAGUGCCAGCUGUGGGGACGAUGGGGUUUUCUGUACUUGGAAGUUUUUCCCUCCCCUGCCAGUGACCUUCUCUCUUCCAACUCUCCUUUGGGACAUUUGGAGGUGGUUUGGAAUGGCAGUUAGCCAUGGUCUGCCACCUCUUGUUCUGGAGUCUUUCCUACAAACAUCACUCCUAGCUCCCAAGCCUUGGCAAACACCCACCUUGGUUUAGGUAAGGUGACACACUAGGCUCAUUAGAAAUGCCAAUGGACUCACAUUCGGUAAAAGCAGUGGCAGCUGAUAAGUCAGACUUUGCAUGGGAACAGCUGUGUGACCUAGGCCAAGUAGUGGAAUCCCUGCACCUGUGUUCUCCUGUGUAAAACCGAUUCAUCACAUGUCACCUGUAGACCUUGCUGACGUGGUUUCUCUGUGUAAACCAAAUGAGGUCACAGGGGACAUGACGUCAACUAUAUAAUUAAAACAUAAGUAGCACUUGAGCAUUAGAAAGUGAUCAAAGCAUGCAAACUUAUCUUCUGGUCCCUAGCGUAUGUAUCACUGGGAUAAACUUCUGGGCUUGCUUUGUAUUUCUAUUUCUGAUCUUAGGGGUCCAUGUUGCUGCGUAUUCUUCAAAUCACAUCUCUCUGAUCAAACAAAAAUAAAACAAAACUAUCUCUUGGAUUUUCAUCAUCAGUUUAAAACUUGCUUUUCUAGAACCUGAAUCAAUUAGAGCAAUUCCUACCUUUGGAAUUGAAGCUAUGCAACUCUGUGAUUUCUGAAACCACAUGUAUUUACUGUAUUGUAGAGAAUAAUGUUACCCAGAAAUCUCGGUGGAAUGAGUUUUGUUUUGUUUUAAUUGUUUUAAUUUUGCUAUGGAAUCUUACUGUGUUGCUCAGACUGGGCUGUAGCUCACACUCCUCCUGUCUCAGCCUCCCCUGUACUGAGAUUAUAGGUAUAUAUCACUAAGCCCAGGUGCAAUUAUAAUUAAGCUGACUGAUUCUGGUCUAACUCUAAA
rnacentral:lncRNA from 1 species